UUACCUGAGGACAACCGCAGCCUAAAAGCGAAAGACCCUCCUUCUGACGAAUCCUCAGAAGGCGAAUAGUCAUCUAGGUUUACGUCACAAGGCCUACGUCAUUCACCUCACUUCCUCUCUCUCGGUGGCGGGCGUUUUGUCAUUCAGGUAUUCAGAAGAAAGACCAUUAUAUUGCUCAACUACAUAAUUUCUGUUGGAACAUAAGGAAGUGGACAAGCAGAGGGAAAACUUGAAAGAUUAAGAAUCCAAGCCCAAAUCCUUCUGGCUCCAGGAUUCAAGGCCUUUCAUCAAAGAAACCCAACAACCUGGCUGAUUCGAACUCCUGUGUGCUGUGCUCGUCAAAGCCUGGAACGAGAGCAUUCUGCCGUCAUGGAGGCAGCCAGACUUAGGAAACACGAACACUGUGGAUGGAAGAUGGGAGGAACCAGAACUUUCACGCACAGGGCUGAGCUGCCAAAUCACCACCUCUGAAACUCUGUCUUAUGUAGCCUUUCCAUUAUAGUCUGCCUUUCCCUGAUGGUGGUUUUCUCCCUUUCCCCCAUCACUUAUAUAUAAAGCAAGUAAGUUUGAAAGUAGGAUACUGAA